AUGGCUCCAAACAGGGCCCCCGGGCCUGAUAACAUACCUGUUGAAUUUUAUCAGGUCUGUUGGGAUAUAGUUAAGGGCGAUAUUAUGGCCUUGUUUGACCAUUUUCAUCAAGGUAAGCUUGAUGUUAAACGUCUCAACUAUGGGAUUAUUACCCUUCUGCCCAAAUUGUCUAGUGCUGACAGAAUUCAGCAAUUUAGGCCAAUUUGUUUACUCCGUUGCCCAUAUAAGCUCAUAACUAAAGUGCUCGACCGUAGGGUUGCAGUUUACGCUGAUAAACUAAUCAGCCUUACCCAAAAUACUUUUGUGAAAGGGAGGAAUAUCAUGGAUGGAGUGCUUUCACUCCAUGAGAUCCUCAACUAUACACAUGUCAAGAAGAAAGUGGGGAUUGUCCUUAAGCUUGAUUUCGAAAAAGCCUAUGACAAAGUAAACUAG
rnacentral:rRNA from 1 species